rnacentral:piRNA from 1 species
CAUAAUUGUGCACUUAUGUAAUGCCUGUGG